rnacentral:rRNA from 1 species
AGAGUUUGAUCCUGGCUCAGAUUGAACGCUGGCGGCACGCUUAACACAUGCAAGUCGAACGGUAGCAUGCUGCAGACCAGAGAGGGCAUUGAGGAAGUGUCUUGUCUGGUCUGUAGUGAUGACGAGUGGCGGACGGGUGAGUAACGCGUAGGAACCUACCUUGUAGAAUGGGAUAACACGGGGAAACUCGUGCUAAGACC